CAGCAGCACGGUAAUGCGUAGGUGGCAAGCGUUGUCCGGAGUUAUUGGGCGUAAGGGCUCGCAGGCGGUUUCUUAAGUCUGAUGUGAAAGCCCCCGGCUUAACCGGGGAGGGUCACUGGAAACUGGGAAACUUGAGUGCAGAAGAGGAGAGUGGAAUUCCACGUGUAGCGGUGAAAUGCGUAGAGAUGUGGAGGAACACCAGUGGCGAAGGCGACUCUCUGGUCUGUAACUGACGCUGAGGAGCGAAAGCGUGGGGAGCGAACAGGAUUAGAUACCCCUGUAGUCCCUGUCUCUUAUACAC
rnacentral:rRNA from 1 species